AGAUUGAGCAUUCACCAAGAAUCCAGAGAGAAGCUUAGUCAGAAGGAAUAAAAAACAACACUGGGAGGUGGCACUCCAAAUUAUUUCCCAAAUGCAAUCUAACAGGAAGUGGAAUAAUUCCCAUAAAUGGAGUUGAGAUCCAGUGUUUUCCAAAGGUCUGGUGAGGACAAGCCUGGUUACUCAGCAGGCAACAGAGGCAUCACUUGAGGCCAUUGCAGCCCAGCUUUGGAAGCCUGGAUGAAUGUGUCAGUCCAGAAGCUGCCGCCAGAAGUCACACCCAGAGGGGCAGCUUAGAAGAACACAUGGCAAGAAAAGCUGCUUUUAAAAACUGGAGGCACGGAUGACUUCUAUAGGCCUCUGCUGAGAGCAAAUGCCUUAUCAGGCUGGGGAGAGAUGCUUAGAGAAAGAUAGUGCAGUAAAAAGUCAAUAUUAAAUUGUUUUUCUCUGAAGUGUCCAAUUAGAUGACUUUGAACAAUUGUAUAUAUUCAUGUUAGCAAAGCCCAGAAUGAGAUAAGGGACUUUUUCAUUUUCUUAGAAAGUUCCUUCACGGACUCUUCAAACACUGCCUUUGCCUGCAUUUGUAUUUCAUAUCAACAGAAUCACACCAUGUGCACUUUACGUAUGACUCCUUUGAUUUAACAUAGUGAGCUUGAGAUUCAUCAGGGUGGCUGCCUGUGCAUGUGGCUUGUCUUCACUUCUGGCUUGUUCCGAUAUGUUUAGACACACACAUCCUCACCGUUGAGUGACAGUUGCCUGCUGUAUUCAGUACAGUUGCAUGCUGUGCAGGUUUGUAGCCAGGGACAAGAGCCCAGGAAACUUAAAUGUGACACUCUUUGCAAGGAUGAAGUAAACAGGAAGUGAAUAAAAUUCUAUAUUUCAACUGAAGCUCGCACUUGGGUGAAAUCUUUCAACAUAUCUUUUGUUUAAGAAAAGUCAGAACAAGAAUUUCCAAGAGAUGGGGUUUCGUUAUGUUGUCCACGCUGGUCUCGAACUCCUGGGCUCAAGUCAUCCACCCACCUUGGCCUCCCAAGGUACUGGGAUUACAGGCAUGAGCCUCUGUGCCCAGCCAUGAUGUAUGUAAUUUGUAAGAGAAAACACCUAUGCAGAAUUGCAAGUUGUGAUGGGCCCUUGAAAAUCAACGUGUGUGCCGAAUCCAGGUGGAUGCUGUGACCUCACAGAAGCUGUGAAGGUGUGCUAUCGCAGAGUGGAGGUGUGGCAAAGUCCAGAUUCGAGAAAAGGCUGAAGUCAGCUUGUGUCCCUGACCUGGGAUCUCAGCCUUAAUCUCAUGUUUAGAAGUGAGGCCAGUGUCAUUGGCCAUCGACAUCCAGAAGAGAAACUCUCAUGGAAUGACAGCUGACAAACAGCAGAUGCCUUCAGACUGGCAGAUUCUUCUAUCUUGUGUUAAUGCAUCUUUAUGGGAAUUCACAACGUUCUCUAGGCAGGGGUCCAAGUGAUAAGCACCAGAGCUUUGAAAUAAGAUAGUAGAAAGCGGGGUAGGCUGUGCUUUUGAAGUGCAUUUUCCUGGCAAACGGAAGAUGGCCCUCCUCAUUCUGCCAAAGGGAAUUCUAAGAGCCAAGAUUACAUAAGAGGAUUGCAUUUUGGAUGUUGUUAGGAUGUGAGCUGAGGUAGGCUUAGCUCUGGCUCAAGGAUUUCAAAGUAACUGACUUGUUUUGUGUACUUUCAGCUCUCUGCAACUCUUGCUGAAUUUUGGCAUCUUUAGCAGAGCAGGAGCAAUUGGCAUUGAUAAACAGAUUUCCUCUUGUAUGGGUGCCUCGCCAGUGCAGGGAUGUGCAGUGAUCUUUCACCCUCUCAGCUUUCCUCUCGAUACUGCAUUCAUCAUUUCAAGAGCUUUCAGGAAUGUGGGCCGUGCUGACAUUUUGUAAUGUCUAUCAGGAAUUGAGAUUUUAGGGUAACAACAUAAAAUGUUCCUAAGGUGAA